CGCCCAGGCCCCUCCCUGGGCUGUGAGGGGCAGCGAGGGGGGCGGGGGUCUGGGCUCCUCGGACCGUCACCGUCUGUCUCUCCGCAGCCCCGACUCAGGACCGUCCGGACCGCUUUGAAUAUGACUACGACACGGUCCGCACCAUCGGCCUCACCCUGGCCACGAUCAUGUUCGUGGUAGGAAUUAUCAUUGUCCUCAGCAAGAAGGUGAAAUGCAGGAAAUCGGACUCGAGCAGUAAAUCCGACCUGCGACCCAUCAAAACUCCAACUCCGGCCAUGUAGACCGACUCACUGUUCCGCCCAGCAAACCCGGCUCCUCCACCGACCCCGGGCCGGUCUGGGCCGGGCCGGGCCGGGCCGGGCCGGGCCAGGGGAGCCGGGGGGA